rnacentral:tRNA from 2 species
GACACUUUGGCCGAGUGGUUAAGGCGACAGACUUGAAAUCUGUUUCAUUCGUGAGCGCAGGUUCGAACCCUGCAGGUGUCG